UUCUUUUUCAGCUACUGGAUUACUUGUGGUGUUUGAUUCUCACCAACCAUGGGGUCGAUCCCCGAUCCUGGCGAGUUAACCGAGUUGACUCAGCCCAGCUUUGACGAGUUCCAGCGCCAGACCUCUCUCAUGACCAGCUGCACUCUUCUCUGGAAGGAGCUAUCUGACCAUUUCUCGUCUCUUGAGCAGAAUCUUCAGAAGAAAUCAGAGGCCCUCAAGAACAAGUUUCAGACACUAGACCAUCAAACAAAGACCUCUCUCGCCUCCCUCAAGAAGCGCGAGGUCACCAUUGACGGCAGCGUUGAGAUCGCACUCAAACGCGUCGAGCAACACAGGGAAGCCGCUCUCAAGUCACUUGAUAAUCCCAAUUUUGACCAU
rnacentral:lncRNA from 1 species